rnacentral:rRNA from 1 species
GGGGAAUAUUGCACAAUGGGCGAAAGCCUGAUGCAGCAACGCCGCGUGAGUGAUGAAGGUCUUCGGAUUGUAAAGCUCUGUCUUUUGGGACGAUAAUGACGGUACCAAAGGAGGAAGCCACGGCUAACUACGUGCCAGCAGCCGCGGUAAUACGUAGGUGGCGAGCGUUGUCCGGAUUUACUGGGCGUAAAGGGUGCGUAGGCGGAUGUUUAAGUGAGAUGUGAAAUACCCGGGCUUAACUUGGGUGCUGCAUUUCAAACUGGAUAUCUAGAGUGCAGGAGAGGAGAAUGGAAUUCCUAGUGUAGCGGUGAAAUGCGUAGAGAUUAGGAAGAACACCAGUGGCGAAGGCGAUUCUCUGGACUGUAACUGACGCUGAGGCACGAAAGCGUGGGUAGCAAACAGGAUUAGAUACCCUGGUAGUCCACGCCGUAAACGAUGAGUACUAGGUGUAGGAGGUAUCGACCCCUCUGUGCCGCAGUAAACACAUUAAGUACUCCGCCUGGGAAGUACGAUCGCAAGAUUAAAAAC